rnacentral:rRNA from 1 species
UACGGAGGGUGCAAGCGUUAUCCGGAUUCACUGGGUUUAAAGGGUGCGUAGGCGGGCAGGUAAGUCAGUGGUGAAAUCCCCGAGCUUAACUUGGGAACUGCAUUUGGGACUGGAAGGCUAGAGUACGGCAGAGGGGGGGCGGAAUUCCACGUGUAGCAGUGAAAUGCGUAGAGAUGUGGAGGAACACCGAUGGCGAAGGCAACCCCCCUGGGCCUGUACUGACGCUCAUGCACGAAAGCGUGGGGAGCAAACAGG